UACGAAGGGGGCUAGCGUUGCUCGGAAUCACUGGGUGUAAAGCGCACGUAGGCGGAUUGCUAAGUCAGGGGUGAAAUCCCGAGGCUCAACCUCGGAACUGCCUUUGAUACUGGGGAUCUCGAGUUCGGGAGAGGUGAGUGGAAUUGCGAGUGUAGAGGUGAAAUUCGUAGAUAUUCGCAAGAACACCAGUGGCGAAGGCGGCUCACUGGCCCGAUACUGACGCUGAGGUGCGAAAGCGUGGGGAGCAAACAGG
rnacentral:rRNA from 1 species